rnacentral:rRNA from 1 species
GAUGAACGCUGGCGGCGUGCCUAAUACAUGCCAGUCGAGCGAACAGACGAGGAGCUUGCUCCUCUGACGUUAGCGGCGGACGGGUGAGUAACACGUGGAUAACCUACCUAUAAGACUGGGAUUACUUCGGGAAACCGGAGCUAAUACCGGAUAAUAUAUUGAACCGCAUGGUUCAAUAGUGAAAGACGGUUUUGCUGUCACUUAUAGAUGGAUCCGCGCCGCAUUAGCUAGUUGGUAAGGUAACGGCUUACCAAGGCAACGAUGCGUAGCCGACCUGAGAGGGUGAUCGGCCACACUGGAACUGAGACACGGUCCAGACUCCUACGGGAGGCAGCAGUAGGGAAUCUUCCGCAAUGGGCGAAAGCCUGACGGAGCAACGCCGCGUGAGUGAUGAAGGUCUUCGGAUCGUAAAACUCUGUUAUUAGGGAAGAACAAAUGUGUAAGUAACUAUGCACGUCUUGACGGUACCUAAUCAGAAAGCCACGGCUAACUACGUG